rnacentral:rRNA from 1 species
AGCUCAACAGCUAGCCCGACCAUACAAAAACAACCAAACAAAUUUAAAUAACCCCAAAAACACUGACCACAACUUAAAACAAACCAUUUUCCCUCCCCAGUAUAGGCGAUAGAAAAGGACACACGAAGCUAUAGAAAAAGUACCGCAAGGGAAUGCUGAAAGAGAGAUGAAACAGCCCAGUAAAGCAUUAAAAAGUAGAGACCAAACCUCGUACCUUUUGCAUCAUGAUUUAGCCAGUAACCCCCAAGCAAAAAGUAUUUUAGUUUGACACCCCGAAACCAGGUGAGCUACUCCAAGACAGCCUAUAAGGGCGAACCCGUCUCUGUCGCAAAAGAGUGGGAAGAGCUUUGAGUAGAGGUGACAGACCUACCGAACCUGGUUAUAGCUGGUUGCCUGAGAAACGAAUAGAAGUUCUGCCUCCUGCGUUAUUUUCUCCCCGAUGGUUACUCCCACCCCUGACAAAAAGUAAACCAAGAGAGUUAGUCAAAAGGGGUACAGCCCCUUUGAAAAAGAUACAACUUUAAUAGGAAGGGUAAAGAUCCUAGUACAAAACUAAGUAACUGUUACUGUGGGCCCAAAAGCAGCCAUCAAAAAAGAAAGCGUUAAAGCUCAAACAGAUACACCACUAUUUCUCCCGAUAAACACAUCUUAUCCCUCCAAACCUAUCAGGCCAUUCUAUGCACCCAUAGAAGUGACUAUGCUAAUAUGAGUAAUAAGAGAAAACUAGAAUCUCUCCCCGCACACAUGUCAAUCAGAACGAACCCGCACUGAAAAUUAACGGCCCCAAACAAAGAGGGAACAGAGUAAUAACACUGAAAUACCAGAAAAACACCCAAUAACACCAAACCGUUAACCCCACACUGGUGUGCUAACCAGGAAAGACUAAAAGAAAAAGAAGGAACUCGGCAAACACCUCUAGCCCCGCUGUUUACCAAAAACACCGCCUCUUGCCCAAAAAGAAUAAGAGGUCCCGCCUGCCCUGUGACUUACGAGUUUAACGGCCGCGGUAUUUUGACCGUGCAAAGGUAGCGCAAUCACUUGUCUUUUAAAUGAAGACCCGUAUGAAUGGCAUAACGAGGGCUAAACUGUCUCCUUUCUCAAGUCAAUGAAAUUAAUCUUCCCGUGCAGAAGCGGGAAUAACAACAUAAGACGAGAAGACCCUAUGGAGCUUUAGACAAAACACAGACUGCAUCAAAUAGAUUAAAAAUAAAUAAACCUAAACCAAGCAAUCCCUGUCCAAUGUCUUUGGUUGGGGCGACCGCGGGGAAACAAAAAACCCCCACGUGGAAUAAGAGUACUCCUCUUUAAACCAAGAGCCACAGCUCUAAAAAACAGAAUAUCUGACCAUAAAGAUCCGGCAUGACCGAUCAACGGACCGAGUUACCCUAGGGAUAACAGCGCAAUCCCCUUCUAGAGCCCAUAUCGACAAGGGGGUUUACGACCUCGAUGUUGGAUCAGGACAUCCUAAUGGUGCAGCCGCUAUUAAGGGUUCGUUUGUUCAACGAUUAAAGUCCUACGUGAUCUGAGUUCAGACCGGAGCAAUCCAGGUCAGUUUCUAUCUAUGUAAUGAUCUUUUCUAGUACGAAAGGACCGAAAAGAAGAGGCCCAUACUAAAAGCACGCCUUCCCCCUACCUAAUGAAAACAACUAAAAUAGAUAAAAGGGCAUACCUACCAAACCUGAAAAAACGGCAC